rnacentral:rRNA from 1 species
AUUGAGAGUUUGAUCCUGGCUCAGGACGAACGCUGGCGGCGUGCUUAACACAUGCAAGUCGAGCGAUGAAGCUCCUUCGGGAGUGGAUUAGCGGC